CAGCUUCAUUAAUCUCUCUUGUGUGGUGUAGUGGUUUAAAGGGAUAGUUCACACAAAAAUGAAAGUUCUCUCCUCAUUCACUCAUCCUCAUGUUGUUCCAAACUCGUAUGACUGUCUUUCUUCAGUGGAACACAAAAGGUGAACAAGUGAUCUGAUCACAGCGGUUAACAUCUCACUAGAUGGGAAGAUUGUCAGUGAAUACAUUUCGACAUUUAUCUAAAGUUGCUUACAAAUGUGGAACAUCACCAGCAGUUUGUCCUACAAGAGCAACAACAUCUGCAGUGUCAGGCUGCCAAGUUUUGAGACUGGCACAGAAGCUAUUGGACAGAAGUGGAUCUUCAGACUAGUAGUUUUCAAUAGGUAGUGCCUUUUGCUUGUGGUCUGGUUAAAUGUCUUCAACAGUUUCUUGAAUAUUAUGACAAUGUCAGCACAUUGGCUGGAGGUUGGAAGCUCAUUUAACCACAGAGAAACAGAAAUGAGCAGCCCUAGGCCACAUUAGGCUUUGGUCAUGUUGCUUGUAAUAUUUGAAUUUGGCUUUUGUAAAUUUAAGUUCUGGAAAACCUUGAAAAUAGACUUUUUUUUUUUUUUUUUUUUUUUAAUCAAGAA